GACGAACGCUGGCGGCGUGCCUAAUACAUGCAAGUCGAACGCUUUUUCUUUCACCGGAGCUUGCUCCACCGAAAGAAAAAGAGUGGCGAACGGGUGAGUAACACGUGGGUAACAUGCCAAUCAGAAGGGGAUAACACUUGGAAACAGGUGCUAAUACCGUAUAACACUAUUUUCCGCAUGGAAGAAAGUUGAAAGGCGCUUUUGCGUCACUGAUGUAUGGACCCGCGGUGCAUUAGCUAGUUGGGGAGGUAGCGGCUCACCAAGGCAACGAUGCAUAGCCGACCUGAGAGGGUGAUCGGCCACACUGGGACUGAGACACGGCCCAGACUCCUACGGGAGGUAGCAGUAGGGAAUCUUCGGCAAUGGACGAAAGUCUGACCGAGCAACGCCGCGUGAGUGAAGAAGGUUUUCGGAUCGUAAAACUCUGUUGUUAGAGAAGAACAAGGAUGAGAGUAAAACGUUCAUCCCUUGACGGUAUCUAACCAGAAAGCCACGGCUAACUACGUGCCAGCCGCCGCAGUAA
rnacentral:rRNA from 1 species